rnacentral:rRNA from 1 species
UGAACGCUGGCGGUAUGCCUUAUACAUGCAAGUCGUACGAGAGUUUUUAACUCAAGUGGCGGACGGGUGAGUAACACGUAAGAAUUUGCCUUUAGGAGGGGGAUAACAACUGGAAACGGUUGCUAAUACCCCAUAUGCUUUCGAGUGAAAUGGAUUUAUCCGCCUAAAGAGGAGCUCGCGGCUGAUUAGCUUGUUGGUAGGGUAAUGGCCUACCAAGGCGACGAUCAGUAUCUGGUUUGAGAGGAUGAUCAGACACACUGGAACUGAGACACGGUCCAGACUCCUACGGGAGGCAGCAGUGGGGAAUUUUCCGCAAUGGGCGAAAGCCUGACGGAGCAAUACCGCGUGAGGGAUGACGGCCUAUGGGUUGUAAACCUCUUUUUUCAGGGAGGAAUCAAUGACGUGUACCUGAAGAAUAAGCAUCGGCUAACUCC